GAAACGACAACUUUCCUACCAUCUUGGAGGCAGAGGAGAGAGGGGCCAAGGGGAGAAGUGCACCGGCUCCAGAUAAAGUCCAAAUUUCUACCUCUCAUCGCUGGAAAAAAGCCCAUACUUGAGAAAAAGUAGGGAAGAAUGAGAAAGGAAGUCGUGUGCUCCGUGGUGGGGAAUGUUUCUGCACCUUCUGAUGGAAAGAAAUCUUUACAAGACACAGAACACACGGAGAAUUUUAAUGUACAUAUUCAAGAACAAAAGCCUAUGAAGCUGGCCUGCAACUGUAGCAUUAAACAGCGGUGCCUCAAAACGUGGAUUUGUACCAACUAGAAGAACAACAUCUGCUUCUUCCACACCAGCAAUUGUGGUAUUGAGAAGAUAAUUGGAACGAAAAUGACAGCUGAGAAUAGUUGUAGCACUCAUCUUCAAUCCAAGUACUUAGGAGGUAAAGACAGAAAGUUCUUCUGCCACACAGAGUUCAAGGCCAGCCUGGGCUACAAGAAACUCAAAAAUCAAAAUGAAAUCCCAAACAGCAGCCUGGAGCACAGCUUAAUGUUUCUCACCCAGCUCCUUCAGUGGGGAAGAUCUCCUCAGUGCAUAAGUUGUCAGAGUCAACUUUAUUAAGCAAGUCUUUCAGAGCUACUAAGGCUUCAGCAUCCACCAAGCCACCUGCAAUC
rnacentral:lncRNA from 1 species